GAUUCGAGGUAAAUAUAGCAGCAGGGUAGAAAAGUCAGCAGAGGAAGAGGAGGAGCAGGUGAUCAGUGAGGACCAGGGAGAAGACAACAGACAGGCAGCUCUUUCAGAUAAACAGUCUUUUUAGGAGCAUCAGGGUUCUGCCAUUCAGCAGUAGAAUCACUGAAGUUCAGCUGAGCGGCUGCUGCUUCAUCUGUGGUCUGAUGAAGCAGCAGAUCAGCCUCCUCUACGACGGGAGAUACUUCAG